UGGGGAAUCUUGGACAAUGGGCGAAAGCCUGAUCCAGCGACGCCGCGUGGGUGACGAAGGCCUUCGGGUUGUAAAGCCCUUUUGCCGGGGACGAUGAUGACGGUACCCGGAGAAGAAGCACCGGCUAACUCCGUGCCAGCAGCCGCGGUAAGACGGAGGGUGCUAGCGUUGUUCGGAAUUACUGGGCGUAAAGGGCGCGUAGGCGGCUACGGCAGUCGGGUGUGAAAGCCCGGGGCUCAACCCCGGAACUGCAUCCGAUACUCUGUGGCUAGAGACCGGAAGAGGUGGGUGGAAUACCCAGUGUAGAGGUGAAAUUCGUAGAUAUUGGGUGGAACACCGGUGGCGAAAGCGGCUCACUGGUCCGGUUCUGACGCUGAGGCGCGAAAGCGUGGGGAGCAAACAG
rnacentral:rRNA from 1 species